rnacentral:lncRNA from 1 species
GGCCUCUCCAGUGACUGUGCUGGUCUCAGGGCCACUGAGGGGGGACACUGGGAACCUGUCCUCCCCCAGCCCAAGCUGGCCGUCUGGCAGGGGAGUUCUGGUGAGAACGUCCUACUCUCCUUCACCCUGUCCCACGGCUUCUUGGUGGAAAACCUGGAGUGCUGGCCAGCCCCAGUGCCAGCCAGGCCCUGGGUGCCAGGAAGGGAUGCCCAGCAUCUACCUGAGGACCGUACGAAGGGCCCCUCCCUGGCCAAAUGACCUGCCCAUUCUGCAUGCAGACUCUCUGAUUGGCCAACUUGCUGCCACCUGACUUGGGGCGUCCUCCUCCUGGCCACUUCCCAUGGCGGCCCUGCUGGUGCAUCAACACUGUUCUAAUGCCUUUGACCAGAAUGGCAAGGCGGCCUCCACAGGCACAGACCAAGGAGUCACACCAGUGCUCCAGCAGCCCCUCAUCUGCCCAGCGCCCGGCCGGUUCAGUACCCAGAGAUUCCUGGCGCUCAGCCUGGAUGCCCGCACCCCCAGCCUCCCAGCGGCCUCUCCUCCCUCAGCUCAGCCCUGCCGGGAGGGUGGCAUAAAGGAGCGCCGGGCGGCCGCCCACUCUCUCCAGUGGCUGCAGCUGGGAUGCAUCCUGCAGGGGCGGAGGGCAGCAGCCAUGGUGCAGAGAGCAGCCUCCAUUCCCGGCGGCCACGCAGAGAGGUGCCCAGAGUCUGCAAGUACUUCCAGCGUGGCCUCUGCUUCCAUGGAGACAGAUGCAGGUAGGCGCCUCUCUCCCCGGCCGGGAGGGUGCAGGUAAUGCCGGGCAGGGGUCAUCUGUGUCCUCGCCCUUCUGUCCCUGCAGCUAUCAGCACCUGGUGCCCGCCAGUCCCCUGGAGUGGGGCCGCCGCUAUUCCGAGCCACUUGUGGCUGUGCCGGGCCAGUGGCCAGGCCUGACCCGCAGGGCCUCCGAGCCCACUUUCCCACACCCCAUAGUUGUGGAGUGGGGCCAGGCCUGGCUAGGGGCCCACUGGGGCAUGGAGCUUGGCCUGGAGGAGGCUGGAGGCAGCUCUUGGAGGUCCCCAUCUUCAUCGCCGGCUGCCUGGGAGCACAGCCCCGCCGAGAAGCCUCCACUCGCGGCCGACCUUGUCCAGGAGCUCUCGGGCGCCCUUCAGAGCCUGGACCUGGCAGAGGUACCAUGCCGGGAGGGCGGGCUGGGUCUGGGGCCGUGGCGGGAGGUGUCCGACCCGCCCUGUGGCUGCAGGGCUCGCACGACAGCGACAGCCGGGACGUGGUGUGCGGCAUCUGCAGGGAGAGAGUGUGGGACAAGCCCGCGGCCG